CCGGGUGAGUAACACGUGACUAACCUACCCUCGAGUGUGGAAUAACAUCGGGAAACCGAUGCUAAUACCGCAUAACAUCGCAAGAUCAAAGGAGUAAUCCGCUUGAGGAGGGGGUCGCGGCUGAUUAGCUAGUUGGCGGGGUAACGGCCCACCAAGGCGAAGAUCGGUAGCCGGCCUGAGAGGGCGCACGGCCACACUGGAACUGAAACACGGUCCAGACUCCUACGGGAGGCAGCAGUGGGGAAUUUUGCGCAAUGGGGGAAACCCUGACGCAGCAACGCCGCGUGGAGGAUGAAGCCCCUUGGGGCGUAAACUCCUUUCGACCAAGACGAUAAUGACGGUACUGGUGGAAGAAGCACCGGCUAACUCUGUGCCAGCAGCCGCGG
rnacentral:rRNA from 1 species